rfam:Triticum aestivum genome assembly, contig: Triticum_aestivum_CS42_TGACv1_scaffold_621694_7DS
GUACUACUCCCUCCGUCCGGAAAUACUUGUCAUCAAAAUGGAUGAAAAGGGAUGUAUCUAGAACUAAAAUACGACUCGAUACAACCCCUUUUAUUCAAUUUGAUGACAAGUAUUUUCGGACGGAGGGAGUACUUA